rnacentral:rRNA from 1 species
AGCCUGAACGCUGGCGGCGUGGUUAAGACAUGCAAGUCGUACGGUGUAGCAAUACACAGUGGCGAACGGGUGAGUAAUGAAUCGCUAAUGUACCCCGGACUCUGGGAUAGCUGACCGAAAGGUCAGGUAAUACCAGAUGAUAUAUCCCUUCCGCAUGGUUGGGAUCUCAAAGGUCCGCCGGUCUGGGAGCAGGCGAUUUUGUAUCAGCUAGUUGGUGAGGUAACGGCUCACCAAGGCGAUGACGCAUAGCCGGACUGAGAGGUUGGCCGGCCACAUUGGGACUGAGACACUGCCCAGACUCCUACGGGGGGCUGCAGUAACGAAUCUUCCGCAAUGCACGAAAGUGUGACGGAGCGACGCCGCGUGUGGGACGAAGCCCUUCGGGGUGUAAACCACUGUCAGAGGAUAGAAAGUUCUGAUCAUCCUCAGAGGAAGGCACGGCUAACUCUGUGCCAGCAGCCGCGGU